UACGUAGGGUGCAAGCGUUAAUCGGAAUUACUGGGCGUAAAGCGUGCGCAGGCGGUUUUGUAAGUUUGUCGUGAAAGCCCCGGGCUCAACCUGGGAAUUGCGAUGAAGACUGCAAGGCUUGAAUCUGGCAGAGGGGGGUAGAAUUCCACGUGUAGCAGUGAAAUGCGUAGAGAUCUGGAGGAACACCGAUGGCGAAGGCAGCCUUCUGGGCCAACACUGACGCUCAUGCACGAAAGCGUGGGGAGCAAACAGG
rnacentral:rRNA from 1 species